rnacentral:rRNA from 1 species
ACUCCUACGGGGAGGCACAGUGGGGAAUAUNCACAAUGGGNGCAAGCCUGAUGCAGCCAUGCCGCGUGUAUGAANAAGGCCUUCGGGUUGUAAAGUACUUUCAGCAGUGAGGAAGGUGGGUAUGUUAAUAGCAUAUUCAUUGACGUUAGCUGCAGAAGAAGCACCGGCUAACUCCGUGCCAGCAGCCGCGGUAAUACGGAGGGUGCGAGCGUUAAUCGGAAUUACUGGGCGUAAAGCGCAUGCAGGUGGUUUGUUAAGUCAGAUGUGAAAGCCCGGGGCUCAACCUCGGAAUUGCAUUUGAAACUGGCAAACUAGAGUACUGUAGAGGGGGGUAGAAUUUCAGGUGUAGCGGUGAAAUGCGUAGAGAUCUGAAGGAAUACCGGUGGCGAAGGCGGCCCCCUGGACAGAUACUGACACUCAGAUGCGAAAGCGUGGGGAGCAAACAGGAUUAGAUACCCUGGUAG